CGGGCGCUAAGAAGACUCGGAGCGGACUUUGACCGCAGUAAAGUAGAGGAAAGGCACUGAGCCGGGUGAAGGGAGAAAUAAAAAACCCGGGUUGGAUUACACAGAGGGGACGAACGGGGGAGGAGAGCUGCGACAGGACCGAAGGCACCCAGGGUCGGCAAAUUUUGUGCCGGAUUCUUCCUCGGGAGACGGAGUAAUGCGUCAUGCCUAAUGCAGUGGGAACAAGCAAGACAUGGCCUAGAGUUUCGGGACCUGGGGUGGCAGGGGGCUCCGGAAGGGGGCUCCUUAGAGACUGAGGCUGCCCUAGUCUUACUGGCAGCGACGUGUAAGGGGGAGGGGCAAAAAGAGGGCUGGACCCCGGCGUCAGUUGGUCCGGAGCGAGGGCUCCACCAACGCGGGCAGGUAGAAGCGGCUUCAGGAUCCAGGGGCUAAGCGAAGGGAACGCGCUGAGGCAGCCGCUACCCUGGGAGACCAGACCUACAAUCAGACGCGAGGGCGGGACGCAAAGCCAGGACUGGAGUCCGCAGGACGGGACGAGACCCCAGCCGAAGGUCCCGGGCAACCGGACAAGGGCUCGAGCUGACCGGGCGGCAGGAGCGGGGAGGGGAGUGCUAGGGAGAGGCCCAGUUCUGGAAGCCUAGGAUAUGAUGGCGAAUAAGAGACACAAAGUUAUUGUCUUCCUGGAGCUUACAUUUUACUGGGGAGGCUGAUGAUUGACGAGUAGCAAGAAGAAAACUUCAAGAGAGUGAUCAAUGCUGUGAAGGAAAAACAAUGAGGAAGCAUGCAGCUGGGUAUAGGUUAUGAAGGCAGGUCCUCAGUAAAUACAGCAGGAAAUUACCAUGUGAUCCAGCAAGUCCGCUUCUAGGUAUGUACCUUAAAGAAUUGCAAACAGGUGCCCAAAUAGAUUCUUCUACACCAGUGUUCACAGCAGCAUUCUUCACACGAACUAGAAGAUGGAAACAACACAAAUGUACAUGGAUGGGUGAACUGAUAAGCAAGAGAAUCUUAUUCAUCCAUAAGAAGAAAUGAGUCCUGCUACAGGCUACAAUGUGGAUGAACCUUGAAGACGCUAUGCUGAGUGAAAGAAGCCAGACACAGAAGGCCAGAUAUUCCACUUAUAUGAACUGUCCAAGAAUGGGUAAAUGCAUAGAGGCAGAGCAGAUUAGGGGUUGCCAGGCGCUUGGGGAGGGGGAAUGGGGAGUGACUACUUAUGCAGACAAGUUUCCUUUGGGAUAAUGAAAACAUCUGGGGACUCAGUAGAGGUGGUGGUUGCCCAACACUGAGAAUGUACUCAGUGCCACUGCAUUGUUCACUUAUAAUAGUGGUUACUUUUAUACUAUGUGAAUUUUACCUCAAUUAAAACAAAAUUAAAGGGGGCAUUUGAGAGAGGGCUGGGAGACUGGGGAGGUGGCCACCACCAUCAAUCCAGGUGAGAGGUGAUGGAGGUCAGAUUUGAGGCAUAUCCUAGAUUCAGACCAACAAGACUACUUAACCUUUGCAUUCCCCAUCAGGAUUGCUCAAAUGUCACCUCUUGACCACACAAUUGAAAACUGCAAACACUUCCAGAAAGCGAGAGUCCAGGAAGCCAACCCAGUCCAGAUAGGACUGGUGAUGGAUUUCCAGUUAGGCAUCAACGGGGAAAGGCGCCCAAUUGGGCUGCGCUUCCCUCCCCGGCCGCUAGAGGCCGCUGUCCCGCUGCUCUGAGGCAACCAGGUGAGGAGGCCCCGCCCCUUCCCGCAGGUGCUCGGGAGGCGCGCCGCAGGGCCAAGGGAGGAGAGCUAAGAGGGCCAGGGGACAGAGUGAGGGUUUAAAGGAGAGAGCUGAGCAUGUCUGAGUUAGGGACUGCUGAGAGGAAGGAGAGAGAAAAAGCCCUAGGAAGUCUGGAGGUGUGAAAAGGUGAGAAGAGAAGGAGACAGCAGAGUGCAGGUGUGAGGCAGCGAGAGCAGGGGGCCUGGCCAAUAGCGGAGUUGGGAGGAAGCCACCCGGGGCAUGGUGCAACGUUGGGGGAGGGAGACAGGUGAGCAGGUGAGGAGUCAGGGAAGAAUCCUGGAGGUGAAGAAUGACCUUGGGAACUUGACAGGUACGUUUGGACAGUGCAAGGGGAUGGCUGGACUGUUUGGGGGUGGGCCUGGCCUGUGGGGAGUUAAGGACCCCAGGAAGGGGCUGUGCACUUUGCCAACCUUGGCUGGUAUGGAUGUGGGGUGGAGGGAAUCUCAGGCCCUGACCCCUUGGGCCAGCAAUGGAGAAAGAGCUUCUGAGGAGUGAGGCGGGAAUGCCAACCUCAUCCUUGGAGCCCGGCUGCUUCUGCAGAAGGUAUGGGCAGGUAAGGGGUUUGUUCAACCUGGCCAGAGCACUUGCCCUCUGUCUGCAUCAUGCCCCAUGCCCUAUGGCCAGUGUUCACUGUGCAUUGAGCUGGGUGGGGGCAAAUGCCAGUGAAGGAGACACAUGUAGUCCUGGCUGGCCAGGAGCUGGCAAGGACUUGUCAGUGUUAGUGUGGGGGGUGGAAGACAGGUAGGAACUGUGGGACAGUACACCUGGGGCACCCUCCCCAGUCAGGUGUUCCCAGAGAAGCCUGCCUAAGGGAAGUGGCCCAUAAGCAGAGAGCAGGAACCUGCGGUCUGAAAGAUAGAAGACCCUGGACCUUCUAGUGGUCUGGGCAGAGAGGAGGUUCUGAGGAUAUUGCCCAGAAAAAGGCCCGCAGGGUUUAGGCUGCAGUAGGGCAAUAGGGAGUGGUGGGGCCUGAGGCUUGUCUGAAGGGGCUGAAGGCUUGGUGAGACGGUGGAACUGGAAGGUGAGAAGAGAGCUGAGGGUCCCCUAGAGGUCAAGGUCAGAACCACAGGAAGGUACAAAGUGACCCCCAACCUUGCAUGGGCCCAGAGCAGGAGCUGCAAAGCCAAAUGGCAACCAGGGUGCAAAAACGUAGGAAUGGGGCAGGUGUGAGGCAGCGAGGAGGGAGGGUGGCAGCUGUGGGGAGCUGGAAAUGCACCCUCCUUUCAAUAGGGUAGCUGCUUGCUACUACUCAGCUCCAGCUGAGUGCUACCACGUGGGAAGUCAGGCUCUGAAUUGCCAGAAUGGAUUCUUCAAGAAAAGCCAGAAGUCAGGGUUUUUGAGCAAAAUUCCCUGAGCUUUGACUAUCACACACUGAUGUACUAAUGUUAAAUUGCUCCCACCCAGCAAUUCCAUCCCUGAAUUUAUUCCCAAUGAGAACAGGCCCCAUUAUGCCCCCUCAAAAAACAGGGACAUGGAUGUUCACAGCAGCUUCAUUCAUUACCACCAGAUGCUGGACACCGACCAAGUGACCAGGGACUGGCAAAUGGAAACUAACUUGGAGUGUAUUCCCACAAUGGGAUACGACACAUCAAUGAAAAAGAACAAAUCAUGAAUGCAUGUCCAGUACUGUGCAUGAUGCAAUUUGAAAAUACUGUUGAGCAAGAGCAGAAGACACGAAAAUGAUACCCUGUAUGACCCCAUUCCUAUGACCUUCAAAGCAGGCAGAAGUGACCUGUGGCAUCAGGGGAACCCAAGUUUUCCUGACUGGACCAUUGACAUUUGGGGCUGGUUGAUUCUUUGCUGUGGGGGAUGGUCCUGUACAUUGGAGGGAAACCUCCCUGGUCUCUCCCCAUGAGAUACCAGUAGUGUAUCCCCAGUUGUGACAAAUGUCCCUUUAGGGGGGGCACAGUCACCUUUAGGUGAGGACUCUGGGAAAGUGAUACUUCACGGCAGGACAUUUACUGGAAAAUGGUCCUGGAUUUUUUAUCUGGAGCUUGGUGGUAGUGACAUGGUGGAACAUAUUUUUUAAAUUCAGAGCUGUAUUCUUAAGAGGUAUGUGCUUUACAAUAAAAGAGUUAACCCUCCAGCAUACGUGACCCUCGAAAAUAUGCCAAAGGAAAGAAGCCAGACACAAAAGGCCCCAGAUUGCCUGG